rnacentral:rRNA from 1 species
UGAGGAAUAUUGGUCAAUGGGUGCAAGCCUGAACCAGCCAUCCCGCGUGAAGGACGACUGCCCUAUGGGUUGUAAACUUCUUUUGUAUAGGGAUAAACCUACCCUCGUGAGGGUAGCUGAAGGUACUAUACGAAUAAGCACCGGCUAACUCCGUGCCAGCAGCCGCGGUAAUACGGAGGGUGCAAGCGUUAUCCGGAUUUAUUGGGUUUAAAGGGUCCGUAGGCGGAUUUAUAAGUCAGUGGUGAAAGCCUGUCGCUUAACGAUAGAACUGCCAUUGAUACUGUAAGUCUUGAGUAUAUUUGAGGUAGCUGGAAUAAGUAGUGUAGCGGUGAAAUGCAUAGAUAUUACUUAGAACACCAAUUGCGAAGGCAGGUUACCAAGAUAUAACUGACGCUGAGGGACGAAAGCGUGGGGAGCGAACA